rnacentral:rRNA from 1 species
GACGAACGCUGGCGGCGUGCUUAACACAUGCAAGUCGAACGCUGAAGCUCAGCUUUUGUUGGGUGGAUGAGUGGCGAACGGGUGAGUAACACGUGAGUAACCUGCCCCCUUCUUUGGGAUAACGCCCGGAAACGGGUGCUAAUACUGGAUAUUCACUGGUCUUCGCAUGGGGGUUGGUGGAAAGGGUUUUUCUGGUGGGGGAUGGGCUCGCGGCCUAUCAGCUUGUUGGUGGGGUGAUGGCCUACCAAGGCUUUGACGGGUAGCCGGCCUGAGAGGGUGACCGGUAACAUGGGGACUGAGAUACGGCCCAGACUCCUACGGGAGGCAGCAGUGGGGAAUAUUGCACAAUGGGCGCAAGCCUGAUGCAGCGACGCCGCGUGAGGGAUGGAGGCCUUCGGGUUGUGAACCUCUUUCGCUCAUGGUCAAGCCGCAACAAUGGUUAUGGUGAGGGUAGUGGGUAAAGAAGCGCCGGCUAACUACGUG